ensembl:lncRNA
AUGGGUCAACACCUCAGAAUGCCAAGGAAGCUUGUAAGACCUCAAAUAAUUAACAUUGUAAUUGAUACUGAAGUGAAUCUUCAUUUCAAGCUGCUGUGUUUGUUGAGGAGGAAGAAGAAUCAUCAUAACUCACCCAUUUCCGUAGAAAUAGAUAUGGCCCAUAUCUACCCAAGAAAUGAAACAAAACAAAGAGGCAGAGAUAAAGAAGCACUUGUAAUAGACAAUUCUGUCCAUUGA